rnacentral:sRNA from 1 species
GUGCGGCUUCUGAAGCGGACCUGGCCGCUGGAGGUGCCCGAGACGGAGCCGACGCUGGGGCAUUUGCGCUCGCGCCUGAGGCAGUCCCUGCUGUGCACCUGGGGGUACAGAUUCAGAGCAUUCUUCACUCCAGAAUAAUGAGCAACCCUCUUUGGCCACCAGCUCCAAUCAGACUAGCAUGCAGGAUGAACAACCAAGUGAUUCAUUCCAAGGACAGGCAGCCCAGUCUGGUGUUUGGAAUGACGACAGUAUGUUAGGGCCUAGUCAAAAUUUUGAAGCUGAGUCAAUUCAAGAUAAUGCGCAUAUGGCAGAGGGCACAGGUUUCUAUCCCUCAGAACCCAUGCUCUGUAGUGAAUCGGUGGAAGGGCAAGUGCCACAUUCAUUAGAGACCUUGUAUCAAUCAGCUGACUGUUCUGAUGCCAAUGAUGCCUUGAUAGUGUUGAUACAUCUUCUCAUGUUGGAGUCAGGUUACAUACCUCAGGGCACUGAAGCCAAAGCACUGUCCAUGCCGGAGAAGUGGAAGUCGAGCGGGGUGUAUAAGCUGCAGUACAUGCAUCCUCUCUGCGAGGGCAGCUCCGCUACUCUCACCUGUGUGCCUUUGGGAAACCUGAUUGUUGUAAAUGCUACACUAAAAAUCAACAAUGAGAUUAGAAGUGUGAAAAGAUUGCAGCUGCUACCAGAAUCUUUUAUUUGCAAAGAGAAACUAGGUAAUACAAACAUUAUUUAACUUUUGGGGUGAAACUCUGUGAAAUUCAUAUAAGAAAAAAAUCUGAAAGAUAAUGUUCAAAAGACUGAAAAUUUCUAUAUGAGAUUAAAGCAUAUUGAAGACAAUGUGGUUUGUUUAAGAAUGCAAAGGUUUAAAAAAUGUGAAAGUUUUGCUUAUAAUUUGAGGAGUUUGUUUCUUUCCUGUUUUUCUUAGGGUCAUAGAGUGCUGAAUUAUAUUGUUAUGAGAUAACACUAGUAUGUAAUUUAUUACACUCUGAUGAUAGUUCAUAGUUUCUGUACUAAUCUUUGGAGAUCUCCCUAUUGAGAUCUCCAUAUUGGUAUUUAACCAAUAUGGAGGGGAUCUGUGUUUCAUGGAAGUAAUUCAAUGUCAAGUUGAUUAUUGAAGAUUAUUGGAGGAAAAACUACAAUCAAAAUGUUUAAACCUAUAUAAAUUUGAUGGCUAUUUUAUACAGAUUGAUACUUUACCAAAGGUUUGCAUUCUAGGUAAGGUUUUGCUUAAACUCUAUAAAAUUAUUAAUAGAUGCAAAGAAGACAGGUUUUCCUUUUUAUCAUUUUUCAGUUAAACCAAACUGUGAGAGGCAGUUAUAGGUGGUUGGAGGAGAAGAGAUAAGGUGGAGAGGGGAACUGACAUUUUUUAAGUGCCUGUUUCAUUCUGUACUUGUGCCUGUACAUACGUUAUUCCAUUUAAUCUUCUUAGUAAACUUAGGAGGGUUUUAAGAGCCUAGUGGGAAUGUUGUGGUACAAUGGGAAGAUGGCAUUUAUAGCAGUCCUUUAGGAAAGGCUGGCUAGAUUGACAUUGUUGCUUUGAAGGCCUAAAGGCUUAUUCUUGUUCAUUCCUAGGGGAGAUCAGCCCUGAGAGAUUGACUUAUACUAACUAAAACUGACAGGAAAAGGAGAUAGCAGAAUACAUAUUUAUAACGGUCUCUGAUUGGAUGUAGAGUCAGAAAUUGGGAAUUAGCUGAGUUGAAUUUUUUUUUUUGAGACGGAGUCUUGCUCUUUCGCCAGGCUGGAGUGCCGUGGCGCUAUCUCGGCUCACUUCAACUUCCACCUCCCGGGUUCAAGCAAUUCUUCUGCCUCAGCCUCCUGAGUAGAUGGACUACAGGCGCACACCACCACGCCCAGCCAAUUUUUUUGUAUUUGUAGUAGAGACAGGGUAUCACCAUAUUGGCCAGGCUGGUCUCGAACUCCUGACCUUGUGAUCUGCCCGCCUCAGCCUCCCAAAGUGCUGGGAUUACAGGCAUGAGCCACUGCGCCCGACCGAGUUGAACAUUUAAUGUCAGACUAAGCCAGAGUUUCUCAAUCUUUUUAUUCUCACUUCCCAAAGGAGCCUUUGGAGAUUUUCCCCUCAAUCUCUCUCCUUCAUGAAAUUUCAUACCACAAAUAUAGUAUGUUUUAUUUAUGUACUGGGACCCUUUGAAGGAUCACAAACCAAUAUAAUAGUUUUUCUUUUUAACCCGUCAAGGACCAGUUUUUGCCCCUGUUGAAAAUGCAUAAACUGGACUGAUGAAUCGGUAUAGAUGGCUUUUAUCAUAAGAAUCAGAAAAACUUGAAAUUCCUUGGCUACGACAUUCCAUAUUUAUCAUUGUAUAGGGAGGACCUUGUUAUGGGGAGUAGAAAUACUCUACACUUUACAGCAGUAGAGGUUUUAUGCCCAUUUUAUAGAUCAGGAAACAGAUCUAGAGGAGGCUCACUUAAGGGUCACAGAGCUAAUAAAUGGUGAAAUACAGGAUAGGAAUAGAUUUGGCUGACUCCCAGCCUUUUAAAACAACUUUUACAGGAAUGUAGCUCAGAUUGCUAUUCUUUAUCUGGUUUCUCUUAAAUAAAGAAAAAUGAAAUGGAAGGGAGGAGGAACAUUAAAUACUGUUAAAUUACAAGUUUAUGGACUGUUAUAAUGAAGUAUUUUUAAUAAAGUCUUUUAUGUUGAGUAGGAAUAUGCUGCUCAUUUGGCAAGUCAUUUUAAUGAAUUUUUACUGUGGUUCAUAGCACCUAGUAACUACAACUAGACACUGUUAUUUAUCCUUUUAUUUAUAAGUUCCUAAUUAAAUAGUUAUAUACCAGGUUGCUGAAGGAAAACAUUCAUUUAAAGAAAAUCAAUUUUCACAUUUGAAAAAAGCCCUUGAGCCAAAUUGAUUUUAAAGAAUGAUAUCUUGACAGCAAAUUUCAACUCAAGAUUGCAAGUCACACAACAAAGAUUUAGACAUUAGCUGCAUAUCUCUUUCCUCCUUCUUAUCGAUCCUGUUAUACUGAGUGUUUUAUUUGUUAUAGAUAGUGAAAUACAUAAAUAUGAAAUGGGGAAGGAGCAAGCAUAAAUUGCCUACUGAUACCCUAGGCACUGCUCGUGGAGCUUUCAAUUAUAACAACGCUUAUCUGGUGUAGUGGUGGUGUCUCCUUUAAACAGUUGAGCAAAAAGGUGAGGAUCAGAGGGGCAGGUUAUUUGUCCAAGGCUAUACACUUGGUAAAUAGCAAAACAAGUGGGAACCUCGGCUGCAGUUUGCUAGUGCGUCCGUACUUUACUAUGAGUCACCUGGGGAUCUUAUUAAAAUAUAGGUUCUGAUUUGGUAGGUCUGUGGGGGCCUGAGAUUCAGUAGUUCUAAACAGUUCCAGGUAUUGUCAGUUCUGGUGAUCUGUCGCCCACAUUUUGAGUAGCAGUGUGGUGACUAAAAAUGAGUGCUUUUGAGCCACACGGACUUGGGUUUGUGCACUGUUCUGCCACUAACCAUGGGGCCUUGGACAGGCUUUCUGUACCUUGACCUGUUUUUAAAAUGGAGAUGGUAAUUAGGAAAGAACUUCUGAUGUGAAAGCUUGAAAAACGCUUGACACAGGUGCUGAUACAUAGUCAUCAUGCGAUAAAUGCUAUUAAUUUACCAGGUUCUAAGCGUUACAGGAGCAGUUCUCCACUGUAUCCUCAGUGCCCAGAACAGAUUGAUAGCUAUCAGGAGAUCUUUGUAUGUAUGAAUCUCUCACAAGUGUUUUCUACAACUGCAGCCUAUGAGCUAGAGAGGUUGGGCACAGCUCUACUAAUUUGAUAUCAUGGAAUUUUUAGCUUUUAUAUCUAAGAUUCAGUUUCAUCAAGUCUUGCACUGUACUUCUUCCAUGAGGGAAUUUGGUUCAUGCUUAUCUUUGUGAAUUAUUUGUGAAUAUUUAUUCACCAUGUUGAUUGGGUUUGGCAGAAAUAGAGGACAGUUUUUUCACUUGAUUUUGGGUUUUGAUUUUACUUUAAAAAAUAUUCUAGGGGAAAAUGUAGCCAACAUAUACAAAGAUCUUCAGAAACUCUCUCGCCUCUUUAAAGACCAGCUGGUGUAUCCUCUUCUGGCUUUUACCCGACAAGGUAAGAGAUGAAAUACUGUCACAGUUUAAAUGGCUGUAAAGAAUAGUAAGUAUACUUAGUAUUCUUGGUGAGUAUGACAUCUGACUGCCCUCUUUUCUGCUCCUGGCGAAAUGUUCCUCUUUUAAGACUAAGCUUAAUAUUCCUUAAGUGCUAUUUACUUUAUCUUUGUAUCUCCAUGCCAUUUUGUACAUAUUUUUAUUGUAGUCUCUUUUCCAUGGACUAUAAUUGUUGAUAUGAUUUCUUUCCACCUAAGGUUGGGAAUACCUUGAAGGUAGGGAAUAUAUCUUACUUUUGUAUUCUUGUGGUCUAGCAUGAGGUCAGGUACAUAAUAGAUGCUCUUUCUCUCUAUGUAGAUACAUAUAUAUAUGUCUAUAUAGACAUAUAUUUAGAUAUAUAUGUCUAUAUAGACAUAUAUUUAGAUAUAUAUGUCUAUAUAGACAUAUAUAAAUAAUACAUGGUCUGUAAUUGGAUCUAAGUUUUUUUUUUUAAACCAUUUAUUGGAGGCUCUUUGCAGGCACUUAGUUGGAUAUUUCACAUGCAUUCUUAUUUACUGCUAAUGACUUUGAAGUAAAUUAUGUGGUACUUAUUUUAUAGAUGAUGAAAUCAUAAUUCAGUAAGGUUUAUAAUUCACUCGAGGUCCUUAUAUUAGCUUCUCUUAUUUUUUUGCAGUUAAAAAAAUUAAAAUCUCAGUGUCUUACAGUGAAAUUUACUUCUCACUCGUGUACAUGUUGUGUGUGGGUUUGCUUUGGCUGAAGGAGUUGUCUUUAUCCAGGACAUGCUCCUCUUGUAGUAGAAGGAAAGGAGUGCCAGUGGCCCAAUUAUGUGUUGGUUCAACGCUUUUGCCCAGAAAUUAUAUAUGUCACUUCCACUCACGUUUUGUCAGAAAAAAUAAGACAAAAAUGGCCAAGCCUGAUGGUAGUGGGAUGGGGAAGUAUAAUUAUGUGUAGGAAGUGAUUGAGAACCAUAAUACAAUCUACCACAAUUCUCCAACUAGUAGGUAGUUUCUGACUUGUAUGAAUCGAUAGUGGCUUUUAUUUGCUCUCUAUAUGUAGAGAAAUAAGUAAAACGUUUUUGGUGUCAAGUUGAAUGAUGGCAUGUCUAUUAUUACAGUAGUCUUCUCUGUAGUUGGUGAUAAGGGAAAGGGAGUAAUGCCAAUUGAAAAACACAUGUAGAUAUGUCUGUUGGAUUUUGAUUAUUUUUGCUAGUGGAGAAUAGUAUCACAAAUAUUUUGAAGGUGCUAAUAACCAAAACAUAAUUUUCAUUGAACUUGGGACAUAUUAUUUUUCCUUUCCUUUCUUGGCUUUGUUUCUGAAUUUAUCUAUCUCUUUUUAGCCUGCUAGACUUCAGAUAAUAGUAAUUUGCUAACACUUGAGUGCUUAUGCUUGGUGUGCCAAACAUUGUUCUAAGCACUUAAUAUGUAUUAAUACAUUUACUUGUCACAACUCAUUGAAGUAGGUGGGAUGUAAUAUUAAUCCAUUUUACAGAUGAAAUUAAGAUAGAGUUUAAAUAACUUGUCCAAAGGCACACAGUUAAUAACUGGCAGGGAAACAGAUAUAAAAGCCAGUGAAUUAUUCAUUUUCUGUAGUUGAAGAAAUUUUGUUGUAUUGAAUAAUGUUUGAGACAGAAGAGACCAUUGGCUAGUAUUUAGCAAUUAUCAUAGUUAUUUGAUUUAUAUUAAAAAGCAUUUGUCUUUCUACUAAAACAUAAAGGGAAUAAGGGCCUAGAGUUGUAUGAGUUAGUAGUAAUUAUAGUCAAGCUGGGGUUAAAAAUUUGUUGUAGAUGAUGCAUACUUGGGGAUAAUUAAGAGUACCAUCUAAUUUUUUGCCACUUUAGAAAGGAACAAGUGGCAACUUUGUUGACUAUGUGGAGAAAGCCAGAUGUUAUUUACUCAGUAAUGCCUGUUACUUCUCUUUUUUUCCUUUUAGCACUGAACCUACCAGAUGUAUUUGGGUUGGUCGUCCUCCCAUUGGAACUGAAACUACGGAUCUUCCGACUUCUGGAUGUUCGUUCCGUCUUGUCUUUGUCUGCGGUUUGUCGUGACCUCUUUACUGCUUCAAAUGACCCACUCCUGUGGAGGUUUUUAUAUCUGCGUGAUUUUCGAGACAAUACUGUCAGAGUUCAAGACACAGAUUGGAAAGAACUGUACAGGAAGAGGCACAUACAAAGAAAAGAAUCCCCGAAAGGGCGGUUUGUGAUGCUCCGGCCAUCGUCAACUCACACCAUUCCAUUCUAUCCCAACCCCUUGCACCCUAGGCCAUUUCCUAGCUCCCGCCUUCCUCCAGGAAUUAUCGGGGGUGAAUAUGACCAAAGACCAACACUUCCCUAUGUUGGAGACCCAAUCAAUUCACUCAUUCCUGGUCCUGGGGAGACGCCCAGCCAGUUUGCUCCACUCAGACCACGCUUUGAUCCAGUUGGCCCACUUCCAGGACCUAACCCCAUCUUGCCAGGGCGAGGCGGCCCCAAUGACAGAUUUCCCUUUAGACCCAGCAGGGGUCGGCCAACUGAUGGCCGGCUGUCAUUCAUGUGAUUGAUUUGUAAUUUCAUUUCUGGAGCUCCAUUUGUUUUUGUUUCUAAACUACAGAUGUCAACUCCUUGGGGUGCUGAUCUCGAGUGUUAUUUUCUGAUUGUGGUGUUGAGAGUUGCACUCCCAGAAACCUUUUAAGAGAUACAUUUAUAGCCCUAGGGGUGGUAUGACCCAAAGGUUCCUCUGUGACGAGGUUGGCCUUGGGAAUAGUUGGCUGCCAGUCUCCCUGCUCUUGGUUCUUCUCUAGAUUGAAGUUUGUUCUCUGAUGCUGUUCUUACCAGAUUAAAAAAAAAGUGUAAAUUA